ACACACACACACACACACACACACACACACACACACACACACUGAACACACACACUGAACACACACACACACACACACACACACACACACACACACACACACACACACACUGAACACACACACACAGCAUAAAAUAAUGGCCGGCCAUGGGCCAAUGAAAAAAUUUCACUGCCAUUUGACAUGAUAAUUACUGAUAGUUACCUACAGCAAACCCAUCACAGUGAGGGUGCUCUUUCACAACGCCAACACUCUACAUUCACAUUAUACUCUGUAAUUCAGUCUCUCCUAACAGCAAAAAACCAGGAAACUCAACAGAAGUUUCACCAUGUAGAGGCCAGAGGCACAUGUACGUCUGUUGGCACGUCUGUUGGCGUUGACCAGGACGUGCUAAAGAAUGGAGAGCCCGUGGGAAAAUUCCUGUAUCUCGGCAAGUACGCCCCCUAUGCCGUUGAUAAACAUAUCAUUCGAGAGCACGUGACUAGGUGGAGUCAGAUCUCUGGACAAAUGAACUCUAUAGAUCCUGGGACUAUCUCUUCACUGUUGAAGAGUUCUCCUCACCUACUAAUUUUUCUACCGCUUGUUCGAGCACGCCGUCUGAUGUUCUGUAAUAGUUUUCCACUUUCUGGAUGACGUGGUCGACACACUUCUUUCAUUUCGCUGCCAUCACAUUUUCAACGCUUUCUCUGGCCAGUUUGAAUGGCAGAAAACGGUUGAACAGGACGGACCUUGACGUACUACAGUAGAUAGAUAGUAGGCAGUGAGGGCUGGCUAGCAACCAGUACUCUAAAUGCUCAUUUAUCGAUUGUUAGUAUUACAAUCCAGGAUGAUAGCAAUAUUGUUGUUUUCGCCCUAUAUGCCUUUAAUAUAUCUGGUAACCACA